rnacentral:rRNA from 1 species
UACGUAGGGUGCAAGCGUUGUCCGGAAUUAUUGGGCGUAAAGAGCUCGUAGGCGGUCUGUCGCGUCGAAUGUGAAAACCCGGGGCUCAACUCCGGGCUUGCAUUCGAUACGGGCAGGCUAGAGUUCGGUAGGGGAGUCUGGAAUUCCUGGUGUAGCGGUGAAAUGCGCAGAUAUCAGGAGGAACACCGGUGGCGAAGGCGGGACUCUGGGCCGAUACUGACGCUGAGGAGCGAAAGCAUGGGUAGCGAACAGG